UGUUUUUGUGUAAUCAAACCGGUUUAAUUUUUCAGAUCCAAGUUGGGAUGUUAAUAUGGGCUUUUAGGAAAAGGGUUAGUCCGCACUAAAAUAUUAAGCCCUGAACCCGCACUUUUCUAUCCGGGACAAAAUAGGGCCGCUUAACUUUGGUAAUUGGGUUUUAUCAGGGUUAAUUUUUUUUUGCAGCAAACAAAGAAAACAUCGUUUCUUCUCAUCUUUCUCGUCAGAAGAAAAAGUGAAGGCAGAGAGUUUCAACUGAAUGCAGUAAUCAAUACGAAAUCGAAGGCGUUGAAGAAGAAGACGUAAUCGUCAGUUUCUUCUGGGCUUCCUCUGAAACGAAAUUCGAAGCUCUCUUUCUGGGUUUGUUGAAAUCGAAGGCUCUCUCGAUCUUCUAGGUGCAACUGUUGGAGUGGAGACAACGACUUGGAAUCAUGGAAGAGAGCAAUUUUGAGUUUUUAAUUUUAUGAUAAACAUACCAUUAUGAACAAAAAUAUGUAAACUUUGAGAUUUUAAUUUCAUGAUAAACAUUUACAUUUAAA